AGAGCGAACGCUGGCGGCAUGCUUAACACAUGCAAGUCGCACGGGCAGGGGCAACCCUGUCAGUGGCGGACGGGUGAGUAACGCGUAGGUAUCUAUCCUUGGGUGGGGGACAACUGUGGGAAACUACAGCUAAUACCGCAUGAUAACUGAGGUUUAAAGGCGCAAGUCGCCUGGGGAGGAGCCUGCGUACGAUUAGCUUGUUGGUGGGGUAAAGGCCUACCAAGGCGACGAUCGUUAGCUGGUCUGAGAGGAUGAUCAGCCACAUUGGGACUGAGACACGGCCCAAACUCCUACGGGAGGCAGCAGUGGGGAAUAUUGGACAAUGGGCGCAAGCCUGAUCCAGCAAUGCCGCGUGUGUGAAGAAGGUCUUCGGAUUGUAAAGCACUUUCGACGGGGACGAUGAUGACGGUACCCGUAGAAGAGCCCCGGCUAACUUCGUGCCAGCAGCCGC
rnacentral:rRNA from 1 species